rnacentral:rRNA from 1 species
GUGGGGAAUCUUCCGCAAUGGACGAAAGUCUGACGGAGCGACGCCGCGUGAGUGAAGAAGGCCUUCGGGUCGUAAAGCUCUGUCAUCAGGGACGAACGGCCGGUGGAGUGGAAAGCCAUCGGAUUGACGGUACCUGAGAAGGAAGCCACGGCUAACUACGUGCCAGCAGCCGCGGUAAUACGUAGGUGGCAAGCGUUGUCCGGAAUUAUUGGGCGUAAAGCGCGCGCAGGUGGGAUCUUAAGUCCAUUUUUAAAGUUCGGAGCUCAACUCCGUGAUGGGAUGGAAACUGGGAUUCUUGAGUGUCGGAGAGGAAAGUGGAAUUCCAAGUGUAGCGGUGAAAUGCGUAGAGAUUUGGAAGAACACCAGUGGCGAAGGCGACUUUCUGGACGAUGUCUGACGCUGAGGCGCGAAAGCUAGGGGAGCGAACGGGAUUAGAUACCCCAGUAGUCC